rnacentral:lncRNA from 1 species
CCUAGGAUAUGUAAAAUGUGCCUUCAUUGAUUUUAUCAGUUAUUUGAUACGUAUCAAAGUAGGUGCUAGUGAGUAAUGCUCAUUAAAAACUGUUUCCUGACUCAGAACUUUCUGUUUAGACUCAAGAGAGCAAUGAAGACACUGACAAAGCAAUGAAGAGAAUCAAUGGCAAAAUUCUAAGAGAGAUGGGCACCACAAGGAAUGAGAAUUUGUUACUGUUAGAACCUUUGAUAGUGAAAUUGAUACGAGAGCAACUCACGGGUGGUAGAUCUAAGACCUCCAGACCUGAUCCCACUUCCUUCCCUUCUUGUAUCCAACUCCUGUUUGCUUUGCCUCAGGUGGUGAAGGAAAGAAACCCAAAUGUGUG